rnacentral:tRNA from 1 species
UUAUGGCUCAGUGGUAGAGUGCUCGCCUCACACGUGCAAGGUCCUGGGUUCAAUCCUCAGCAAUAAA